rnacentral:rRNA from 1 species
GACGAACGCUGGCGGCGUGCUUAACACAUGCAAGUCGAACGGAAAGGCCCUGCUUUUGUGGGGUGCUCGAGUGGCGAACGGGUGAGUAACACGUGAGUAACCUGCCCUUGACUUUGGGAUAACUUCAGGAAACUGGGGCUAAUACCGGAUAGGAGCUCCUGCUGCAUGGUGGGGGUUGGAAAGUUUCGGCGGUUGGGGAUGGACUCGCGGCUUAUCAGCUUGUUGGUGGGGUAGUGGCUUACCAAGGCUUUGACGGGUAGCCGGCCUGAGAGGGUGACCGGCCACAUUGGGACUGAGAUGCGGCCCAGACUCCUACGGGAGGCAGCAGUGGGGGAUAUUGCACACUGGGCGGGAGCCUGAUGCAGCAACGCCGCGUGCGGGGUGACGGCCUUCGGGUUGGAAACCGCUUUCGCCGGUGACGAAGCGUGAGUGACGGUAAUGGGUAAAGAAGCACCGGCUAACUACGUG